CCUACGGGUGGCAGCAGUGGGGAAUAUUGCGCAAUGGGCGAAAGCCUGACGCAGCGACGCCGCGUGAGGGAUGAAGGUCUUCGGAUCGUAAACCUCUGUCAGCAGGGAAGAACGGUCACUGUGCUAAUCAGCAGUGAAUUGACGGUACCUGCAAAGGAAGCACCGGCUAACUCCGUGCCAGCAGCCGCGGUAAUACGGAGGGUGCGAGCGUUAAUCGGAUUUACUGGGCGUAAAGCGCUCGUAGGCGGUAGGUCAAGUCAAGGGUGAAAUCCCCGAGCUCAACGUGGGAACUGCCGUUGAAACUGGCAAACUUGAGUGUGUGAGAGGUUAGUGGAAUUCCGGGUGUAGGGGUGAAAUGCGUAGAUAUCUGGAGGAACAUCGGUGGCGAAGGCGACUAACUGGCACAUAACUGACGCUGAGGAGCGAAAGCGUGGGUAGCAAACAGGAUUAGAUACGCCAGUAGUC
rnacentral:rRNA from 1 species